rnacentral:tRNA from 1 species
GGGGAUGUAGCGCAGUGGUAGAGCGUCCGCAUCGCAUGCGGAAUGCCCGGGGUUCGAACCCCGCAUCUCCA